rnacentral:lncRNA from 1 species
ACAACCACCAGCGACAUCAAUCUCUCGCUUCCUGCUCCACUUCUCGGCGCCCACAUCUCCAACUGGCUCAGGCUCCCCAUGUCCCCAGCCGGUACGGAGCUGCGGUCAGCGGAUUGUGCGGCUGAGCCAUCCUCGUGACGGUCCCGCCUCACUCACCCUCCGUCACCUCCAGCACCUUAAUCUGUUCUUCAGCAGCCGCCCGCACCUCCUGUACUGGGGAUAGGAUCCCGGUGAGCGUAUCCACUAACGCUUCCUUUAAUCCUUGUGCCACUGGACCCGGCAGCCCGGAGGCCGCACCAGCUGCCGCCGCCGCCGCCAUCUUUUCUCCCCUCAGCCCGCCAGCCCCGCGGCCGGGACCCGCCACCGAAUGACGGCCCCCGCGCGCGGCCAAUCCGCGAAGCCGCGCCUGCGCACCAGAGGCGGGCGGGAGCGGGCGGAGGGCGGGGAAUGAAUCUAAGCCUCCAGAGACAGCGCCUCCUGCUGCCUGAACGAGAACUGCACCUUUCUCUGCAAGGAUCUCUGGAUUUGUGUGAAAACUGAGCCCCAGACAGGUUAAGGGGCUUUCCUAAAGUUGCACAAACCCUGUCAUCCAUGGGAGCUUACCACGUGGAUGCAGAAGCUUUUGUGAGGGGCAGCCCGGACCAUCUUUUGGACUUAAUAUACCGAUAUGAAGAUUCAGAUGCAUCUACUCCUCGGUUGGGUGGAAGAGUGAUCCAGGUUGGCAGCCGUCUUGUUGAUGUCCCCUAUGUCAUCCAGAGGGCAGGAGCGGGCAGCUCUCUACCUUGGCAACUGGUUCCUCUCUCUCCAGCUUCAUCUUUUCCAUUGUUUUUUGUUUGUUUGCUUGUUUUUGUUUUUCAUUUUUACCUUUUACAGAUUGAUUUAAACAUUUUUUAAACCAC